AGCUCCGUGUGAAGAACACAUUGAUUGCAAAUCCGAAGACGCAGAUAAUGACUCCUGCCGGGCUU
rnacentral:tRNA from 1 species